rnacentral:rRNA from 1 species
UACGUAGGGAGCAAGCGUUGUCCGGAAUUACUGGGCGUAAAGCGCGUGUAGGCGGCAGGGCAUGUCGGAUGUGAAAUCCCGUGGCUCAACCACGGAAGUGCACCCGAAACUGCCCAGCUUGAGUCUCGGAGAGGAAGGCGGAAUGCUUGGUGUAGAGGUGAAAUUCGUAGAUAUCAAGCGGAACACCGGUGGCGAAGGCGGCCUUCUGGACGAUGACUGACGCUGAGACGCGAAAGCGUAGGGAGCAAACAGG